rnacentral:rRNA from 1 species
UACGAAGGGGGCUAGCGUUGCUCGGAUUGACUGGGCGUAAAGGGUGCGUAGGCGGCGCGGUAAGUCGGGUGUGAAAUCUCGGAGCUUAACUCCGAAACUGCAUUCGAUACUGCCGUGCUUGAGGACUGGAGAGGAGACUGGAAUUUACGGUGUAGCGGUGAAAUGCGUAGAUAUCGUAAGGAAGACCAGUGGCGAAGGCGGGUCUCUGGACAGUUCCUGACGCUGAGGCGCGAAAGCGUGGGGAUCAAACAGG